ACUAGAAUUCCCCUUCAACUUGUCAUUGUGUUACUAGCUUAUGUGUUUAAUUAAAAUUUAAUCAUUUAUAUAAAAUUUAUUAAAAUACUAAUAUUAUGUUUCAAGAAUCUCAUUUUGAGAACUUUACUAAUGGCAGAAACCAUACAUGAAUUCAUUUGGAUUUGAUAUUCCCUAUGUUUAGGUUUUGAAUUAAGUUUAUCUCUCAGCAAUGAUUUUGUUUUCUUUUUCACUGUUAGAGCAUAUUAUCGGAGUUGCUUAUGAGGAUUGCUUAAAUUAAUUAUGAUUUAAAAAAAAAAGAAAAUUACAUUUUAAUAGAAGAAACGUCGCUUAAUCAAGGGAAGCAAGAGACGUCGCCGCUUAUGGGACACGCGUCAAAGUCUCCUCCUCUCUCUCAUCUCUCCUCUCCUUCUUCGCCUGUGUGAAGUCUAAAGAAGAAGACCGACGGUUCACGAAUCCUGAUCCUUCGACCUCGUAUCAUCAAUCCUCACGAUUGAUGCCAAGACCUCUGAGUUUGCAUCUGGGUUUCUGGGCUUAAGCUCUCUCUCUCUCUCUGGGUUACAUCAACAGAGUUUUUUCAUAGAAAUGUUGCUUCUUCCCAGGGUUUUGUUCUUCUGGUUGAACACUAUGAAGAAAGUUGAAAUUUUUUUGAUCUGUCUCUGCUCAAAAACUGCAUUAUUUCUGGUGUCUGCUGAUCCACAAACAUGUCCUGCGGAGUCGGGAGCGAAUUAAGUGUAGCGGUUCUGGUGAUUGGGAAGGAGAGUUCUUCCAUGAGAUCCCUCACAUUAAGGACUUAAGAGCAGUAACCCACUUGCUUACAAACGCAGAAGAGGAGAUUCUUGGCAGUAACCCACUUGCUUACAAGUGGUAUAACCCACUUGGUUCAUCUCUUCUUCUUCUUUGGUGAUGUUUAUAGUGUGUCAAUGCUACUUGUAGCUUCUCCAUUCCCAUUUUUAAUGCAAGACGUGGCUCACCUCUCAACUUGACUUGAAAGGUUAAAGGAUACAUCUAAGUGAGGAUGAUAGGUCUACGUUUGAUCGUCCUAACCUUCUUUUACCGAAGGAACCAGUAGAUUCCAGAAAACUUCAAGAAGAAACAUGUAGAUGGAACAUAGUUCCAAGUGUUCACCAUAGUAUGUAUAUAUUGCCAUAUUAACAAGUCAUUUGGUUGGACGUGACGAAGACAUCAACUGAGUUCGGAUGAUUCUUUUAAAAUUUUAUCGUUUUUUUUUUUCUAAUCUUUGUUUUUAAGUUUUUAUUUAAAUCUAUGUUUAAAGUUUAUCUUUUAUAAUGUUUUAUUUAAUAAAUAAAUUUUAUUUUUAAUUAAACAAUGUUAAUAUUUUUUUAAGAACCCUUAAAUAAGAGACUUCUAUUGGAGCACAAAAAUUAUGGUAUCUCUUAGGUAGGUCUCUUAGAUAACUUUUAAGACUUAAAAGUAUUACAAAAAAAUUAAGAGAUCCUAAAUGGGUCUUUGGGAUAAUGAUGCUCUUAGGCAACUACAUAUCAUUCAGUUGAUAAUGGUUAAAAUUAUUAGAUUAUCUAGUAGUAGGUAUCUAAAGAUUACAAGUUCAAGUUUUGUUGGGAGCGGUUCUAUUCUCUAAAGAUGUGUGCAUUUAAAAUAGUUUGAGUUUCACCCUAGGAAAAUGUACGGGUCUACUACAGGUUGAGAACCUUGUUAUUAAAAAAAAUUCAAAGAAACAAGAAAGAGUUGCAUCUGUACCUGUGACCAAAUGUUUUUUUACUUAUUUUGGUUCGGCUGUAUAUUAAAAUGAUCGGAUGUAUGCACUUUAUGAAUAGGAAACUGGGGAAACUUGAUUUGGCAGCUACACACAUUGUUAAGUAGAUUUGAACAUCAUAAACUUGUUAUUGCAUGCAACAUUAUAUGGGAAGUCAUCUGUAAUAUGAUUCAACCCAUGAUGAGACAUAUAUCAUCAACCUACGAGACAACCAGAUGGUUUUAGUUUCUUGAUAUGUAUUUUAAUAAAACUUUAUCUUAUCGGA